rnacentral:rRNA from 1 species
GGACAAUGGGGGCAACCCUGAUCCAGCCAUUCCGCGUGAGUGAAGAAGGCCUUCGGGUUGUAAAGCUCUUUCGCAAGGGAAGAAAACUUAUGAUCGAAUAAAUCAUGAGGUUGACGGUACCUUGAUAAGAAGCACCGGCUAACUACGUGCCAGCAGCCGCGGUAAUACGUAGGGUGCGAGCGUUAAUCGGAAUUACUGGGCGUAAAGCGUGCGCAGGCGGUUUUGUAAGUCGGAUGUGAAAUCCCCGGGCUCAACCUGGGAACUGCGUUCGAAACUGCAAGGCUAGAGUGUGUCAGAGGGGGGUAGAAUUCCACGUGUAGCAGUGAAAUGCGUAGAGAUGUGGAGGAAUACCAAUGGCGAAGGCAGCCCCCUGGGAUAACACUGACGCUCAUGCACGAAAGCGUGGGGAGCAAACAGGAUUAGAUACCCUGGUAGUCCAC